ACGAACGCUGGCGGCAUGCCUAACACAUGCAAGUCGAACGAGACCUUCGGGUCUAGUGGCGCACGGGUGCGUAACGCGUGGGAACCUGCCCUUGGGUUCGGAAUAACGUCGGGAAACUGACGCUAAUACCGGAUAAUGUCUUCGGACCAAAGAUUUAUCGCCAAAGGAUGGGCCCGCGUAGGAUUAGCUAGUUGGUGAGGUAACGGCUCACCAAGGCGACGAUCCUUAGCUGGUCUUAGAGGAUGAUCAGCCACACUGGGACUGAGACACGGCCCAGACUCCUACGGGAGGCAGCAGUGGGGAAUAUUGGACAAUGGGCGAAAGCCUGAUCCAGCAAUGCCGCGUGAGUGAUGAAGGCCUUAGGGUUGUAAAGCUCUUUUACUGGGGAUGAUAAUGACAGUACCCAGAGAAUAAGCCCCGGCUAACUCCGU
rnacentral:rRNA from 1 species